rnacentral:rRNA from 1 species
GACGGAGGAUGCAAGUGUUAUCCGGAAUCACUGGGCGUAAAGCGUCUGUAGGUGGUCAAAUAAGUCAACUGUUAAAGAGUGAGGCUCAACCUCAUAAGAGCAGUGGAAACUACAUGGCUAGAGUGCGUUCGGGGCAGAGGGAAUUCCUGGUGUAGCGGUGAAAUGCGUAGAUAUCAGGAAGAACACCGGUGGCGAAAGCGCUCUGCUAGGCCGCAACUGACACUGAGGGACGAAAGCUAGGGGAGCGAAUGGG